CCUACGGGUGGCAGCAGUGAGGAAUAUUGGUCAAUGGACGAGAGUCUGAACCAGCCACGUAGCGUGAAGGAUGACUGCCCUAUGGGUUGUAAACUUCUUUUAUAUGGGAAUAGAAUGUUCCACGUGGGGGAUUUUGUAUGUACCAUAUGAAUAAGGACCGGCUAACUCCGUGCCAGCAGCAGCGGUAAUACGGAGGAUCCGGGCGUUUGCCGGAUUUAAUGGGUUUAAAUGGAGCGCAGGUGGUUUGUUAAGUUAGUUGUGAAAGGUUGCGGCUCAACCGUAAAAUUGCAGUUGAAACUGGCAGUCUUGAGUACAGUAGAGGGGGGCGGAAUUCGUGGUGUAGCGGUGAAAUGCUUAGAUAUCACGAAGAACUCCGAUUGCGAAGGCAGUUCACUGGACUGCAACUGACACUGAGGCUCGAAAGUGUGGGUAUCAAACAGGAUUAGAUACCCCAGUAGUC
rnacentral:rRNA from 1 species